ACGAGUUGUAUUUGCAGAAGGUGCUUCGGGCGCGGCCGGGUCCAAGUCCCUUGGAACAGGGCGUCCUAGAGGGUGAGAAUCCCGUACGCGACCUGCGGCCAAGCCCGGGUGAAGCCCUUUCGAAGAGUCGAGUUGUUUGGGAAUGCAGCUCAAAACGGGUGGUAAAUUUCAUCUAAAGCUAAAUAUCUGCCGGAGACCGAUAGCGCACAAGUAGAGUGAUCGAAAGAUGAAAAGCACUUUGAAAAGAGAGUCAAACAGUACGUGAAAUUGUUGAAAGGGAAGCGCUUGCAACCAGACUCGUGCGCGGGGGCUCAGCCGUCCCACGGGACGGUGCAUUCUCCCGCGCCCGGGCCAGCAUCAGUUCUGGCGGCCGGAUAAAAGCCCCGGGAACGUGGCUCUCCUCCGAGAGUGUUACAGCCCGGGGCGCAAUGCGGUCAGCCGGGACUGAGGAACGCGCACCGCUAGGAUGCUGGCGUAAUGGUUGCCAGCGACCCGUCUUGAAACACGGACCAAGGAGUCGACCAACUGAGCGAGUGUUUGGGUGUGAAACCCUCUCGCGCAAUCAACGUGAAUCAGGUAGGAGCCCCCGGGCGCACUAUCGACCGAUCUUGAUGUUUUCGGAUGGAUUUGAGUACGAGCUUCGCUGGUCGGACCCGAAAAGUAAGACCCGUCUUUUUUUCCACGGUUGGCGCCUUUGCUAAUUUUUCCACAGAUGGUGAACUAUGCGUGAAUAGGGUGAAGCCAGAGGAAACUCUGGUGGAGGCUCGCAGCGGUUCUGACGUGCAAAUCGAUCGUCAAAUUUGCGCAUAGGGGCGAAAGACUAAUCGAACCAUUUAGUAGCUGGUUCCCGUCGAAGUUUCCCUCAGGAUAGCAGCAACGUGAUCAGUCUCAUGAGGUAGAGCAAACGAUUAGAGGUCUUGGGGUCGAAAUCGACCUUAACCUAUUCUCGAACUUCGAAUAUGUGAGAAGUCC
rnacentral:rRNA from 1 species